rnacentral:rRNA from 1 species
CCUACGGGAGGCAGCAGUGGGGAAUAUUGCACACUGGGGGAAACCCUGCUGCAGCGACGCCGAGUGAGUGCAGAAGUAAUUCGUUAUGUAAAGCUCUAUCAGCAGGGAAGAAAAUGACGGUACCUGAGUAAGAAGCCCCGGCUAACUACGUGCCAGCAGCCGCGGUAAUACGUAGGGGGCAAGCGUUACCCGGAUUUACUGGGGGUAAAGGGAGCGUAGACGGGAUUGCAAGUCUGAUGUGAAAUCCUGGGGCUUAACCAUCGAACUGCUCUGGAAACUGUACGUCUGGAGUGCAGGAGAGUUAGGUGGAAUUCUUGGUGUAGGGGUAAAAUCCGUAGAGAUCAAGAGGAAUACUAAUUGCGAAGGCGACCUGCUAGAACAUAACUGACGCUGAUGCGCGAAAGCGUGGGGAGCAAACAGGAUUAGAUACCCGGGUAGUC